rnacentral:tRNA from 1 species
CGGACUUAAAAUCCGUUGGCUUUUGAGACCGUGAGGGUUCAAGUCCCUCUACCCCCA